rnacentral:misc_RNA from 1 species
CCCAAACCCAAACCCAACGACCCUCACUGCUCUCUCUGCUCAUCGCUCUCGCAUUUCAAUAAAGAUUGAUUUUUUUUUUUUUCUCUCCUUUCCUAUUCUUGAUUUUGAUUAUAUAAGAUUUUUUACCCAUAUCUUCUUGAAUCUGAGAUUUCUAGGGUUUUCAGUAUCGAUCCCUUUCUAGGUUUCGUUAAUAACGAACCACAGAUUUGUGUUAUGCGCGUGUAUUUUAUAGCUUUCUGGGCGGAAUUUAUCAUUUUUGCUUCUGAAUUCGAAGGACAUUCUGUAAGGUUUGAUUUUUGCCCUAACUUUUCAUUUCUCCUUUUAAAAUCUUUGAUUAAUUGGAGUUUAUUUGAGGAAUAAUGAUUGCGUUGGCGAUUCGAUUUGUGUUAUCUUUGAAUCCUCAUAGUGCUCUUUAUAUGCGAAGUAAUCAAACGCUUUCUCAAUUCGGGCGGUUUUAGGGUUUAUCUUGGGACCAGAGAGAACUAAAAGGGUGAAGGGUGAAGAAUUUGGAAUAGUGGAAAAAACUUUUGUAAAACGAAUAUGGUCUAGCUCUUCUCUGAUUUGGGGCAAUCAGAGCCUUGUUGAACGUAUUUUGAUGUCAAUUUAUAUGUGCUUUUGAUCCUAGGAACAGAACCCUGAGGUGCAGUGCUACAAAAAUGGAAUAAUCCAUUCAUUUCUUUUCUUUUUUCCGGCAUAGUUCGAUGAACUGUUGAAGGUCUUUGUCAUUUGAGAUUUUCCUAAUUCGUUGUUAUGAGGAAGAAGAGGAAAGGGAGUGAAACGGAAGCAUGUGCAGAUAUACAAAAUGAAUUAACGCCUAGCCAUGACAAGAAAUCAUCAAAUCUCAGGUCUCAUUAUUCCCUUGAAGAUUACAACAGGUUAAAGAAGAGGUGCAAAGAAGAUGCUGAUAAUGAGCCUGUUAGCUCUUGCAAAAGUAGACUUGCUGGCAUUGCCACUGCCCCACCUUGUGGUGCCUCAUCAUCAUUGGUGCCACCUGGAAGAGGCCUCAAGAGGAAGAUAGGGUGUAUAGAUAAUGCUACCCAGACAGGUAGAAAGAAUAAGAUUGGGGAUGACUAUGUUUCAGGUGCCACCAUUGGGCGUGGUAAAUUUGGUUCUGUUUGGUUGUGUAGGUCUAAGGCAACUGGAGAAGAAUUUGCUUGUAAGACUUUGCAGAAGGGGGAGCAGACAGUUCAUAGGGAGGUGGAGAUAAUGCAGCACUUGUCUGGCCAUCCUGGUGUUGUGACAUUGCAUGCCGUCUGUGAGGAGACAGAAUGUUUUCGUCUUGUGAUGGAGUUAUGCUCUGGGGGCCGUUUGAUUGACCAGAUGGGUCAAGGAGGUUCGAUACUAAGAACAAUGGGCUGCUAAUAUAUUUAAAGAUGUGAUGUCAGUUAUCAAGUAUUGUCAUGAUAUGGGAGUUGUGCACAGAGAUAUAAAACCAGAGAAUGUACUUCUCAUGAGCUCAGGGAAAAUAAAGCUUGCAGAUUUUGGCUUGGCCAUGAGAAUUUCAAAUUGUAAGUCUCCUACCUACUGUAAGCAAUGUUCUAUUUGCUUUCUAAUUGUUGGCAACUAACCCAUAUAAUGUUUUAUCAUACAGUUAAAAUGAAAAUAUUUAUAUGUAUAUCCAGGAAGUUGAUAGAACAAGUUGUCAAAGUACACACUUCAGGAAAUCAAGAGGGCAGGAUAACAUGGUGUCUCAAGUAUAUUUUGGUGUUAUAUAAAAUCUGCUGUCUUUGGCAGGCAGUAUCCUUAGGAAAUAAAUAUGGUGAAUUAUUGGAAAUAGUUUUCUGUAUCUUUCCUUUUUUAUCAAUUAAUGGAGUUCAUGAAUUUUUGUGUAUGAAAAUUUUAUUUAGUGCCAUUUUGUCUAGCUCCAAUUAUGUGUUUUGGUCUAUUAGCUGAAAUUAGAAUGAAGCACAGGAAGAUCUCUAAAAGAUUUUUUUUUCACUCUUCUAUUUACAUUCUAAUUUCAGAUGAAACCAUGCAAGUUAUUUUAAAUCUGAUGGUAUGUGUGGAACAUAUCAGAGCCAUUGUCUGGUUGCCUGCUACCAUAUCAUUGGUACUUUGGAUAAUUUCAUAUGGUGUUAGUAAAUUUCCAGAAUGUGAAAGAUAAAAAGUUAUUGAAAUGUAGAAAUUUAUGCUUGAUAUGCCCAAUUGUGAAUAUAUUCUAUCAUGUUCUUAUUUAUUGGAAUAUUUCUCUGGAAACUUCUAUUCUGAAUUAAAUUUUGACUCCUUUGUGAUUAGCUUGCUUAUAUUCUCAAAGAUUUUCUUGUGCAAUGAAAUGAUGAAUGCAGGUCAGACAUUGUCUGGUUUGGCCGGAAGUCCUGCUUAUGUUGCCCUAGAAGUUCUAUCAGGAAAUUACUCUGAGAAGGUUGAUAUAUGGAGUGCCGGUGUCCUCCUACAUAAUCUCUUGGUUGGCAUGCUUCCAUUUCAAGGGGACUCCUUGGAAGCUGUUUUUGAGGCAAUCAAGAAUGUAAAGCUUGAUUUCCAUAGUGGGAUAUGGGAGUCCAUAUCUAAGCCUGCAUGCGAUCUACUUUCAAGAAUGCUAACAAGGGAUGUUUCAGCAAGGAUAACUGCAGAUGAAUUGCUAAAUAAGUUUCUGUUGCUGACACCUAUGGAUUUUGUUCUACACAGAGCGCAUAUUAAACACACUGUCCAUUAAGUCAAAAAUAAAGAAUCAAGUUGGACCGACUUCCUGUCAACCUGUCACUGUGCCCGUACCAGAGAUACAUGGGAACAAAGUAGAGAGUGUCUCUUUUGGUGAGGAUUCAAAUCAUCAUUCAUUAUCCGAUAGUUGGAGCAGCAAGUCAGAAGAACAGGAUGACUUUGGUUUGGUGGAUGCACUUACAGUGGCAGUUUCCCAUGUCAAGAUUUCAGAGCCAAAGAGAAGCAGGCUGUGCGGGCCCAUAGGUCCGAUAGAGCAGCAGCAUUCAUCUAACCUGACGGCUAACAAUCUCUGUAGAGCAUUUUGUUUCUGAAACUACUGACAAAAUUUAUCUCCACUGUUUUCUAAGCUGGGGAUUUAAAAAUAACAUGCCCUGGUGCAAUUUCAGUGGGCGAAGAUGGUUAACAGAUCAGCAUAACCCUAUCUGUGCAAUAUAUUGGUGUUUCUUUGGAUGCAAUCUAACCUAAUAGUGGUUCCAAGCCUGUGAAUUGAGGAAAUUGAUCUACAGCAUCUGUAAAUAGAAUGAUAGUGAGCAAUUUUAUGAGUUAAUUUUUCAUUGCACCUGUUGCAUGGGGCAGAUUCAGUGCCUUGCAAAGCCUCUAAAUGUGAAAGUACAAGAAUAUUCUAAAUGACUGUCAACUUGUAUGAUGGAAAGCCUUGAAACCUUACAUAGUUACUGGUAUUAGGAUUGGAAGCUAUGACUGUUCUCUCUCUCUAAAUGCGUAUGCGGCAUAGUUGUUGGUUUUUUCAUGGUAUUCCACCGUCAAUGGUGGAUCUCUACAAAGGAGUCAAAAAAGAAAAAAUUGUUCUUGCAGCACCAUUUUCAAACAAUGCGGCUAAAUAUGCG